rnacentral:misc_RNA from 1 species
UUUCCGUAGGUGAACCUGCGGAAGGAUCAUUACAGAGUUCAUGCCCUCACGGGUAGAUCUCCCACCCUUGAAUAUUUAUACCUUAGUUGCUUUGGCAGGCCGUGGAAACACCAUGGGCUCCGGCUUAUGCGUGCCUGCCAGAGGAAACAAACUCUGUUUUUAGUGAUGUCUGAGUACCAUAUAAUAGUUAAAACUUUCAACAACGGAUCUCUUGGUUCUG